GUCUAUGGCCAUGCCACCCUGAACUAGCCUGAUCUCGUCUGAUCUCGAAGCUAACAAGGUCAUGCCUGAUUAGUACUUGGAUGGGAAACCACCUAGGAAGACCAGGUACUGUAGGCA
rnacentral:rRNA from 1 species